rnacentral:sRNA from 1 species
AUGUUUGACAACAUUCUCAAUGAAACAGCUCGAGGACUUGACCCUUUUUUGGAUCUUGGACGAGUCAUCAUUCAUCACAUGGGAUUGUACAAUCCUGUGUAUGUACCACUAAGGCCCUUGAAAGAUCUUACUGGAAAAAGUGUGAUGGAGAACUUACAAAAUGUCUUAAACAGCCAUGAAAAUCUUUCUCUAGAUAAAAGUUUUUAUUUAAAUGUGGGGCUUAUUAAAGUUCCAAAGGGCGGUAUAGCAGGCAAAAAUAUUAACAAAAAAGCCAAUGUAAGCAGUGAGAGACGUCUGUCCAUUCAAGACAUUUAUGCUUUUGAGAACGUAUUGAAUGUUGAUAUUCUAGUUGUCAGUGCCACUACUGGUAACAAAUUCAUACGAACUGUUCCAAAAGAUCGCCAGCAGCUUAAACAUAUAAGAACCAAACACUCCAUGAACGAGGUUACUGACCAUGACCUUAAAAAAGAGAGACUACAUUCAGUCUCUGGUAUGAAAUAUGUCUACAUUUGGGAGCAUGAUUUUGAAAACUUACUGAAGCAGAACCAAGGCGCAUCUGAUUAUGUUCAUUCCCUAAACCUGCAAGAAAGAUAUACGAGGUCUAUCAUUGGGGAUGAAACUUCACAGUACAAUGCAGAGACGGAAAGCAAUGGUCUGUUUGGCGAAUAUAUCAACCUAUUUUUAAAGAUCAAACAAGAAGCCAGCGGCUGGCCUGAGUGGGUGCAUACCGAGGAAGACGCAGUGAAGUACAUGGAAGAAAUACGCUCUUCGAGAAGAUGCUGGAUAGAAGAGUCUUAUAUUUCGAUACGGAUUCAGUCAUUUUCGUCAGCAGACCUGGAGAUCAGGAACCAAAAGUCGGGUCAUUUCUUGGUCAACUUACCAGUGAGUUACAACCCAAAGAAUACAUUACAGAAUUUGUUUCGGGAGGACCUAAAAAUUACGCCUACAGGACUUCAGAAGGAAAAGAAGUAUGCAAAAUCAAAGGAUUUACCCUAA